rnacentral:rRNA from 1 species
UCUAAGUUUGAUGGCGACCGGCGCACGGGUGAGUAACACGUAUCCAACCUGCCGAUGACUCGGGGAUAGCCUUUCGAAAGAAAGAUUAAUACCCGAUGGCAUAGUUCUUCCGCAUGGUAGAACUAUUAAAGAAUUUCGGUCAUCGAUGGGGAUGCGUUCCAUUAGGUUGUUGGCGGGGUAACGGCCCACCAAGCCUUCGAUGGAUAGGGGUUCUGAGAGGAAAGUCCCCCACAUUGGAACUGAGACACGGUCCAAACUCCUACGGGAGGCAGCAUG